rnacentral:lncRNA from 1 species
GGUUAUACAUCCAUUAUACAGAAACCUAUUGAUAAAAAUAACCAAAAGAAAUCUAGAGAUGUAGAGGGCAACAUGCAGUUGCAAAAAAACAUAUGACACACCACCCUAUCACCAAACGAUAUAAAUUGUCUACACUUAGAUCAUUUCUAAUAAAAAAAUUGUAAUGGAUACUCAGGGAUCUCCAUGGAUGAAAAUUGAACGAUGGAGGAACUUUCACCAUCACAAACCGUGUCUACGCCGUACAGUGUAGCGUGAACGAAAGUAUUUCAUCCCUCCAUAUAAGGAAUGGUGAACAUGCUAAUUCAUUGCUUAUUUAAAUUAUAUUUAUUUGAGUUUUCA